AGUAUGGAAACCAGGCCAGCCAGGGCGAGAGUGAAACCACAGCCGCCUUAGCUCCAUUUUGCUCUGUAUGGCAGGAGAGGGACCAGGUGAAGAUCUCGGCCCCCUCUGCCCUGGGCUACAUGUUGCAUCAAGUUGACAAAAUCAAGCCUGGACUCUCCACCCGAAGAGAGAUCUACACUUUUCUAGUCCCACUGCUGCUUAGCAUUCAGGAUAACAACACCGAGGUAGUCAAGGUGAGCACAAGCAAAAUACAGCUGGUGGGGGACUUACUGUCCCAGAGCUUUGGCUUCCUGAAGAGCCCUCAGUCCUUCCUACGGGCAGCUGCCAUCGACUUCACAGAAUUAACAGCUAAGAAGCUAAACAGGAGUCAAAUACAUGAGGAUGAUGUGGAGCUGUUACAGAAUGGUGAGUCCGAGCCUUGUCCCUGAGCUCUGGGUGACACAAGGCAAUGGGGCAAGACAGAAAGCGGGGGGGGGGGGGGGGCUCGACUCCUUA
rnacentral:lncRNA from 1 species